rnacentral:rRNA from 1 species
UUAGUGGCGGACGGGUGAGUAACGCGUGGAAAACCUGCCGUAUACUGGGGGAUAACACUUAGAAAUAGGUGCUAAUACCGCAUAAGCGCACAGCUUCGCAUGAAGCGGUGUGAAAAACUCUGGUGGUAUACGACGGUUCCGCGUCUGAUUAGCUAGUUGGUGGGGUAAUGGCCUACCAAGGCAACGAUCAGUAGCCGGCCUGAGAGGGUGAACGGCCACAUUGGGACUGAGACACGGCCCAAACUCCUACGGAAGGCAGCAG